rnacentral:rRNA from 1 species
UAGGGAAUCUUCCGCAAUGGACGAAAGUCUGACGGAGCAACGCCGCGUGAGUGAAGAAGGAUUUCGGUUCGUAAAACUCUGUUGUUAGGGAAGAAAAAAUGUAUAGUAACUAUAUACAAAAGAGACGGUACCUAACCAGAAAGCCACGGCUAACUACGUGCCAGCAGCCGCGGUAAUACGUAGGUGGCAAGCGUUGUCCGGAAUUAUUGGGCGUAAAGCGCGCGCAGGUGGUUUGGAAAGUCUGAUGUGAAAGCCCACGGCUCAACCGUGGAGGGUCAUUGGAAACUAAUAAACUUGAGUGCAGGAGAGAAAAGUGGAAUUCCUAGUGUAGCGGUGAAAUGCGUAGAGAUUAGGGGGAACACCGGUGGCGAAAGCGGCUUUUUGGCCUGCAACUGACACUGAGGCGCGAAAGCGUGGGGAGCAAACAGG